UACGUAGGGUGCGAGCGUUGUCCGGAAUUAUUGGGCGUAAAGAGCUUGUAGGCGGUUUGUCGCGUCUGCCGUAAAAUUUCGAGGCUCAACCUCGAACUUGCGGUGGGUACGGGCAGACUAGAGUGAUGUAGGGGAGACUGGAAUUCCUGGUGUAGCGGUGAAAUGCGCAGAUAUCAGGAGGAACACCGAUGGCGAAGGCAGGUCUCUGGGCAUUAACUGACGCUGAGGAGCGAAAGCAUGGGGAGCGAACAGG
rnacentral:rRNA from 1 species